GACGAACGCUGGCGGCGUGCUUAACACAUGCCAGUCGAACGGAAAGGCCCUGCUCUUGUUGGGUUCACGAUUGGCGAACGGGUGAGUAACACGUGAGUAACCCCCACCUGACUUUGGGAUAAAUCUUGGGGACUCCGGCUCAUAUCGGAUAUGAGCUCCUGCUGCACGUUGGGGGUUGGAGAGAGUCGGCUGUUGGGGAUGGUCUCGCAGGUUAUCAGCUUGUUGGUGAAGUAGUUGCUUACCAAGGUUUUGACGGGUAGCCGGCCUGAGAGGGUGACCGGCGACAUGGGGACUGAGAUACGGCCCAGACUGCUACGGUAGGCAGCAGUGGGGAAUAUUGCGCAAUGGGCGGACGCGUGAUGCAGCAGCGCCGCGUGCGGGAUGACCGCCUUCGGGGUGUAAACCGAUUUCGCCUGUGACGAAGCGUGAGUGACGGUAAUUAAUAAGGAAGCACCGGCUAACUACGUG
rnacentral:rRNA from 1 species